AUUGAACGCUGGCGGAAUGCUUUACACAUGCAAGUCGAGCGGCAGCGCGGGGCAACCUGGCGGCGAGCGGCGAACGGGUGAGUAAUACAUCGGAACGUACCCAGUUGUGGGGGAUAGCCCGGCGAAAGCCGGAUUAAUACCGCAUACGACCUGAGGGUGAAAGGGGGGGAUCGCAAGACCUCUCGCAGUUGGAGCGGCCGAUGGCGGAUUAGCUAGUUGGUGGGGUAACGGCCUACCAAGGCAUCGACGGGUAGCUGGUCUGAGAGGAUGAUCAGCCACACUGGGACUGAGACACGGCCCAGACUCCUACGGGAGGCAGCAGUGGGGAAUCUUGCGCAAUGGGCGAAAGCCUGACGCAGCAACGCCGCGUGAGUGAAGAAGGCCCUCGGGUUGUAAAGCUCUUUUGUCCGGAAAGAAAAGCAUCUGGUUAAUACCCGGGUGUUCUGACGGUACCGGAAGAAUAAGCACCGGCUAACUUCGUGCCAGCAGCCGCGGUAAGGUCGUC
rnacentral:rRNA from 1 species